GGAGACCCCAAGAACACCCCCACACCUGACUGACCAGGCCGCUUGCGCUGCAGAGGAGGCGGACACAGCUGGAAGGGACAGGAUUUAUGUUGCAUACUUGAACUACACAGGACAAGGAAACAUCUGUGUUACUCCCUGCUGGAGCCCCUGCAGCAAGCUAGCACCUGGCAAGUACUCGUGGUGGAGAGAUGAGAAAAUUCAGAGGGAAGUGACCUGUCCCAGGUUCUGGAGGGAGUUAACAGAACUCUGAGACAUCUCAGACCAACUGCCUUCCCCAGAGACCCACUAUGGGAACAGUUCCAGAGAAGAAACAAGAUCAAAUACCCUGAAAGGUACAUGACCUGGACGGAGUUCCUAACU